rnacentral:rRNA from 2 species
GAAGUCUGACGGAGCACGCCGCGUGAGUGAUGAAGGCUUUCGGGUCGUAAAACUCUGUUGUUAGGGAAGAACAAGUACGAGAGUAACUGCUCGUACCUUGACGGUACCUAACCAGAAAGCCACGGCUAACUACGUGCCAGCAGCCGCGGUAAUACGUAGGUGGCAAGCGUUAUCCGGAAUUAUUGGGCGUAAAGCGCGCGCAGGCGGUUUCUUAAGUCUGAUGUGAAAGCCCACGGCUCAACCGUGGAGGGUCAUUGGAAACUGGGGAACUUGAGUGCAGAAGAGAAAAGCGGAAUUCCACGUGUAGCGGUGAAAUGCGUAGAGAUGUGGAGGAACACCAGUGGCGAAGGCGGCUUUUUGGUCUGUAACUGACGCUGAGGCGCGAAAGCGUGGGGAGCAAACAGGAUUAGAUACCCUGG